CAAUCUCAACUUUAUUAGAAGAGACGCAUUUAUUAGAUAAAAAGCCAAUGCAUGCUUUUACAGUAUGGAAAUUGGUGAUUUAUAAUAACUUGGCAAAUCGCAAAGUGAAAACAGGCGAUAAAUCAUUCAAGUUUCUGACCUAUCAGCUUUCGACGGUAUGGUAUUGGCUUACCGUGGCAGUGACGGUUAACGGGGGAUUAGGGUUCGAUUCCGGAGAGGGAGCCUGAGAAACGGCUACCACAUCUAAGGAAGGCAGCAGGCGCGCAAAUUACCCAAUUCUAACAGUUUGAGAGAGGUAGUAACAAGAAAUAACAAUACAAGGCAAUUAAAAUGUUUUGUAAUUGGAAUGAUAGAAAUUUAAACCCUUUUUAAAGUAUCAAUUGGAGGGCAAGUCUGGUGCCAGCAGCCGCGGUAAUUCCAGCUCCAAUAGCGUAUAUUAAAAUUGUUGCAGUUAAAAAGCUCGUAGUUGAAGUUCUGCUAAAAGUAACCGGUCUGCUUUUAAUAAAAGUGGUAUCUUGGUGUGUAUUUAGCAAUGAUGUCCUUUGAAGUGUUUUUUACUUUAUUGUAAUAAAGCAUAUUCAGGACUUUUACUUUGAGAAAAUUAGAGUGUUUCUAGCAGGCCGACGC
rnacentral:rRNA from 1 species